rnacentral:lncRNA from 1 species
CGACUCAAGCUUGGGUCGACUCAACCUCUGUGUGGGUCGACCCUCUCAGUAAAUCCAGAGAGCAUUCUUCUGUUGUGUUUUGAGGUUCUUUGGAGGUUGGGUCGACUCAUGCUUACCUUGGGUCGACCCAACUCACUGUUCAUUUGUGCCAUUUUUGCAGGAGUGUGCCAGAUGACUUCUUGAUGUGCCGGGAUCGACCCAAUCAACCUAUGGGUCGACUCAAACCACACUUUGCUGCAUUCUCAAGGUUAGAUUCAUCCAAAUGAACAAGGCCAUUUAUCCAUUUUCAAUUAAACAUAUAUACUGAGAGUAAUGAACUUAUAAAUGAAGUAUCAAUUUAACUUAUAGCAUGCUCUAGAUAAUUGCUUGUUAAUCAUCAAAAUAACACUAUCAUCCUCAGCUAGGGACAUACUGGCACACCUGCAAGAGUUGUAUGGUGAGCAGAGUCGCACAGCUCGUUUUGAAGUGUCCAAGAGGCUUUUCAAAGCGAAGAUGCGCGAGGGGCAGUCUGUCCAUGAUCACGGUCUGACUAUGAUCAAGGAUCUAGAGGAGCUUG